UGUUGAGUGUAAACCUAGGAAUGAAUCGC
rnacentral:piRNA from 2 species